GUUGUGAAACCUACCCGUGCGGACUCACGC
rnacentral:sRNA from 1 species